GGAAGGGGUGUAUUUAUUAGAUAAAAAACCAAUGCCCUUCGGGGCUCCUUGGUGAUUCAUAAUAACUUAACGGAUCGCAUGGCCUUGCGCCGGCGACGGUUCAUUCAAAUUUCUGCCCUAUCAACUUUCGAUGGUAAGGUAUUGGCUUACCAUGGUUUCAACGGGUAACGGAUUUUUAGGGAAAGAUCCCGGAGAGGGAGCCUGAGAAACGGCUACCACAUCCAAGGAAGGCAGCAGGCGCGCAAAUUACCCAAUCCCGACACGGGGAGGUAGUGACAAUAAAUACUGAUACAGGGCUCUUUUGGGUCUUGUAAUCGGAAUGAGUACAAUUUAAAUACCUUAACGAGGAACAAUUGGAGGGCAAGUCUGGUGCCAGCAGCCGCGGUAAUUCCAGCUCCAAUAGCGUAUAUUAAAGUUGUUGCAGUUAAAAAGCUCGUAGUUGAACCUUGGGCCUGGCUGGCCGGUCCGCCUCACCGCGUGUACUGGUCCGGCCGGGCCUUUCCUUCUGGAGAACCGCAUGCCCUUCACUGGGUGUGUCGGGGAACCAGGACUUUUAC
rnacentral:rRNA from 1 species